UACGGUCAUAUCACGUUGAAACACCGGUUCACUUGCGAUCACAUGUUAGGCAAUGUUGUGCCUGGUCAGUAACUAGAUGGGUGACCACUUCGGAAUACCAGGUGCUGUCAG